UAGUACUUAACCGGUGGUGGGGGAGACUUGUAAACCGGAGGAGGCGAGUAAUGCUUAACCGGUGGGGGUGGAGACUUGUAAACCGGAGGAGGGGAGUAGUGCUUAACCGGUGGUGGUGGAGACUUGUAAACGGGAGGAGGCGAGUAGUACUUAACCGGUGGUGGUGGAGACUUGUAAACGGGAGGAGGCGAGUAAUGCUUAACCGGUGGGGGUGGAGACUUGUAAACGGGAGGAGGGGAGUAGUGCUUAACCGGUGGUGGUGGAGACUUGUAAACGGGAGGAGGCGAGUAGUGCUUAACCGGUGGUGGUGGAGACUUGUAAACGGGAGGAGGCGAGUAGUGUUUAACCGGUGGUGGUGGAGACUUGUAAACCGGAGGAGGCGAGUAAUGCUUAACCG
rnacentral:lncRNA from 1 species